UAGGGAAUCUUCCGCAAUGGGCGAAAGCCUGACGGAGCAACGCCGCGUGAGUGAUGAAGGUCUUCGGAUCGUAAAACUCUGUUAUUAGGGAAGAACAAAUGUGUAAGUAACUAUGCACGUCUUGACGGUACCUAAUCAGAAAGCCACGGCUAACUACGUGCCAGCAGCCGCGGUAAUACGUAGGUGGCAAGCGUUAUCCGGAAUUAUUGGGCGUAAAGCGCGCGUAGGCGGUUUUUUAAGUCUGAUGUGAAAGCCCACGGCUCAACCGUGGAAGGUCAUUGGAAACUGGAAAACUUGAGUGCAGAAGAGGAGAGUGGAAUUCCAUGUGUAGCGGUGAAAUGCGCAGAGAUAUGGAGGAACACCAGUGGCGAAGGCGGCUUUCUGGUCUGUAACUGACGCUGAUGUGCGAAAGCGUGGGGAUCAAACAGG
rnacentral:rRNA from 1 species